GAUGAACGCUGGCGGCGGGCCUAAUACAUGCAAGUCGAGCGAAAAGACGAGGAGGUUGCUCCUUUGACGUUAGCGGCGGACGGGUGAGUGACACGUGGAGAACAUACCUAUAAGACGGGGAAAACUUCGGGAAAACGGUACUAAUUACGGCAAAUAGAUUCAAGCGCAUGGUGGAAUAGUGAAAGGCGGCUUUGCAGUCACUUUUAGCAGGUGCCACGACGCAUUAGCUAGUGGGUAAGGUAACGGCUUACCAAGGCAACGAUGCGUAGCCGACCUGAGAGGGUGAUCAGCCACACUGGAACUGAGACACGGUCCAGACUCCUACGGGAGGCAGCAGUAGGGAAUCUUCCGCAAUGGGCGCAAGCCUGAUGGAGCCACGCCGCGUGAGUGAUGAAGGUCUUCGGAUCGUAAAACUCUGUUAUUAGGGAAGAACAAAUGUGUAAGUAACUAUGCACGUCUUGACGGUACCUAAUCAGAAAGCCACGGCUAACUACGUG
rnacentral:rRNA from 1 species